rnacentral:misc_RNA from 1 species
UCACGUAAGAGGGGUCACUGUA